rnacentral:rRNA from 1 species
GUAGGUGGGCAAGCGUUGUCCCGGGAAUUAUUGGGGCGUAAAAGCGCGCGCAGGGCGGUUCUUUAAGUCUGAUGUGAAAGCCCACGGCUCAACCGUGGAGGGUCAUUGGAAACUGGAGAACUUGAGUACAGAAGAGGAAAGCGGAAUUCCACGUGUAGCGGUGAAAUGCGUAGAGAUGUGGAGGAACACCAGUGGCGAAGGCGGCUUUCUGGUCUGUAACUGACGCUGAGGCGCGAAAGCGUGGGGAGCAAACAGGAUUAGAUACCCUGGUAGUCCACGCCGUAAACGAUGAGUGCUAAGUGUUAGGGGGUUUCCGCCCCUUAGUGCUGCAGCUAACGCAUUAAGCACUCCGCCUGGGGAGUACGACCGCAAGGUU